GGCCUGAUGGUCUAGUAGUAUGAUUCCUUGUUAGGGUGUUACGGCACGAUUUUCGAGGAGGUCCUGGGUUCAAUUCCCAGUCAGGCCC